rnacentral:lncRNA from 1 species
UUUUUUUUUUUUUUGCUGGUAAGCAUCGUAGCAAGCGUGUAAUGUUGUCUUGGAAUAGUUGAGAUGUGUAUUUCACCAGUUACUAAUUGUGUUGAACAUUUUUCUGCUUGCUGUCUAUCCUCACAUCUUUGCUGAGGAGUACAUGGAAAUCUCUGACAUAUCCCUAUAGUGACAAUUUUAGACUUUGGUUUCUUUUAAAAAACACAGAAAUAUUACAAGAAUGUGUCCAGAAAUAUUACAAGAAUAUGUUUUUAUUUCAAUCCCAGGUAUGGAAUAUGGGACUGCUUCAGAUUGUCCACAGAAGCUGACUAUGAUUUGCCUCAUGUACUAGCAGGGGUGUGAUUUUGCCAGUGCCUGGUAGUUUCUGCUAUUGUGUUACAUUGGAUACUCUGGGGACUUUUCAGAGGGUAUAAAAGAGUCGCUAAGAGUCAUGGUGGGUUGGUUGGUUGUUGUUGGUCACAGUGUGUUAAUUGGUGUGGCAAAAGAAGAAACAGCAAGAAGAAAUUAAAUUUCCUGACAUGUGCUAUUAUUUCCUUAUAUUAAGGGCAAAGCUACUCCCAUACAAAGAGCAGAAUGGUUUGGAAGUACUGGGAAAUGUGUGUUCUGGAAAAGUGUUGUUAACAAUCAGAGGCCAAAAUUAAAUUUCCCAGUAAAUAAGAUUGAAGUAGAAGGGUUAAUGGAUACAGGAGCUGAUAUAACUAUCAUUUCACAAAAAUCUUAGAACUUGGAAUGGCUAUUUUUAAAGGUUUAUACUUAGUUUCUAGGAAUUGAAAAGUUGUCUCAGAUAAAACAAAGUAUGUGAUGGGUUAAAUAUGCGGAACCAAAAUGCCAAACAGAAAAGUUAAGGCCUUAUGUGGAUGACAUACCAUAAAUUUAUGGGGAAGGGAUCUUUUACAACAGUGGAGUACUCAGAUUAAUAUUCCUGCAAGACAGCCCAUAAAGAAAUUAGGGGUGAAAUGGUGGGUGCACUUAGGGGUAUGUAUUGAUAUAUGUCAUCAAAAACAAUCCCAGGCUGUGCCAAUUGUCCAAACACAGGACAUUAUAGGUAUUGAGUUUUCAAAUUUUAAGUGGGGGGCAUUGAUGAAGUAUCAAAGGCCCUACCCUUAAAGUGGUUGACAGACAAGCCUGUGUGGUAGAGUAAUGGCCCUUAACUAAGGCAAAAUUACAGGCACUUGAACAGCUAGUACAAGAACAGCUGGAGACUCAAAAUAUAGGAGAGUCUAUACGCCUAUCAAACCUCCCUUCAUUUGUUAUAAAAACCAGAGAGAUGGAGGGUGUUAACAGAUUUAAAAGUGUGAAUAAAGUAAUUCAACCAAUGUAUCCCUUAUAGCCUGGAAUUCCUUUACUUUCUGUAUUACUUAAGACAUGUCCUAUGAUAAUAAUUUAUUUAAAAGAUUGUGUUUUUUUACUAUACCAUUGCAAGAGCAGGGUAGGGAAAGGUUUGCUUUCAUCAUACUUAUUUAUAAUAAUGUUCAACCUGUAAAAUGAUAUCAAUGGAAAGUUCUUCCACAAAAAAAGUUAAACAGUCCAACUCUAUGCCAAUAUUUUGUGCAACAACCACUAGAAAUAAUUCAUACACAAUUUUCUCAAUACAGUAUUUAUCAUUUCAUGGAUGAUAUUUUGUUGGCUGAUUCUGAUGCAGCUACUGUAGAGAAAAUGUUUAAAGAAAUAUAAUGAAGUCUGUCAGGCUAUUGGUUACAGAUUGCUUCCAAAAAAACUAAAGAGAGGAGAAUAAAUCUAUUAACUAUUUGGGUUAUAAAACAACUCAACAAAAAAUUCAACUAUAAAAGGUACAGAUCAGAAGAGAUCAGUUCCAAGCUCUUAAUGAUUGUCAAAGAUUAUUGGGAGAUAUUAAUUGGCUGUGAUCUACACUGGAUUAACUACUCAAGAGUUUAGUCAUUUGUUUCAAAUGUUACUAGGAGAUUCAGACUUAAACAGUCCAAGAUUGUUAACAGCUGAAGCAGAGAGAAAGAGAAAG